rnacentral:rRNA from 1 species
UGGGGAAUAUUGCACAAUGGGCGAAAGCCUGAUGCAGCAACGCCGCGUGAGUGAUGAAGGUCUUCGGAUUGUAAAGCUCUGUCUUUUGGGACGAUAAUGACGGUACCAAAGGAGGAAGCCACGGCUAACUACGUGCCAGCAGCCGCGGUAAUACGUAGGUGGCGAGCGUUGUCCGGAUUUACUGGGCGUAAAGGGUGCGUAGGCGGAUGUUUAAGUGAGAUGUGAAAUACCCGGGCUUAACUUGGGUGCUGCAUUUCAAACUGGAUAUCUAGAGUGCAGGAGAGGAGAAUGGAAUUCCUAGUGUAGCGGUGAAAUGCGUAAAGAUUAGGAAGAACACCAGUGGCGAAGGCGAUUCUCUGGACUGUAACUGACGCUGAGGCACGAAAGCGUGGGUAGCAAACAGGAUUAGAUACCCUGGUAGUCCACGCCGUAAACGAUGAGUACUAGGUGUAGG